rnacentral:rRNA from 1 species
GAGUUUGAUCCUGGCUCAGGAUGAACGCUGGCGGCGUGCUUAACACAUGCAAGUCGAACGAAGCGAGAAGAAAGAAGUUUUUCGAAAUGGAUUUUUUCUUUGCUUAGUGGCGGACGGGUGCGUAACACGUAGGUAACCUGCCCUGUGCUUGGGAAUAACUCCGGGAAACCGGUGCUAAUGCCGAAUAAUAUCGCCUGUCGGCAUCGAGAGGCGAUCAAAGAAUUUUGGCACAGGAUGGGCCUGCGCCGGAUUAGCUGGUUGGUGAGGUAACGGCUCACCAAGGCGACGAUCCGUAGCCGACCUGAGAGGGUGAUCGGCCACACUGGAACUGAGACACGGUCCAGACUCCUACGGGAGGCAGCAGUGGGGAAUAUUGCACAAUGGGGGAAACCCUGAUGCAGCAACGCCGCGUGAGCGAUGAAGGCUUUCGAGUCGUAAAGCUCUGUCCUAUGGGAAGAUGAUGACG